CACGCCGUAAACGAUGAGUGCUAGGUGUCGGGGGUCGAACCUCGGUGCCGCAGCUAACGCAUUAAGCACUCCGCCUGGGGAGUACGGUCGCAAGACUGAAACUCAAAGGAAUUGACGGGGACCCGCACAAGCAGCGGAGCAUGUGGUUUAAUUCGAAGCAACGCGAAGAACCUUACCAAAACUUGACAUCCUUCGCAUUACCCUUAAUCGGGGAAAUCCCUUCGGGGACGAAGUGACAGGUGG
rnacentral:rRNA from 1 species